CAUUGUACAGAUCCGAAUGGACUGUCUGUGUUUGUCUUCUGUUCAGUAUUGUCGCAUUUUUCAGUAAUGUGCGUCAACAGCUGUUGGGACCAGGCGAGAAGCCCCGCAAGAAGGUAGCUGGCUCCGGCUAGUGUUAUAGCUUGUGGUGUGCAAGUUUGGGCUCGACAGAGGAGUCGCGGCACAUGCUCUUUUGGGCUGGCACUUCUCUCCUCAGUUCGCUUGUGACCAUAACGGACUGCACGCAGUGCGUUUGAACUGCAGAGGGCUGUCGGGGGGAAUGUUGCAAAUUAUGUGCCAAGGUUGUUGGCGGUCAUAUGAUUUCAUACGACCCGUCUUGAAACACGGACCAAGGAGUCUAACAUGUGUGCGAGUCUUAGGGUGAUAGAAACCCGCAGGCACAAUGAAAGUAAAGGCUGCUUGCAGCUGAAGUGAGAUCUCCUCUUAAGGGGGGCGCAUCAUUGACCGACCUAUUCUACUCCUAGAAAGGUUUGAGUAAGAGCACAUCUGUUGGGACCCGAAAGAUGGUGAACUAUGCUUGAGUAGGGCGAAGCCAGAGGAAACUCUGGUGGAGGCUCGUAGCGAUUCUGACGUGCAAAUCGAUCGUCAAACUUGAGUAUAGGGGCGAAAGACUAAUCGAACCAUCUAGUAGCUGGUUCCCUCCGAAGUUUCCCUUAGGAUAGCUGGAACUCGGAACAGUUUUAUCAGGUAAAGCGAAUGAUUAGAGGUCUUAGGGUUGAAACAACCUUAACCUAUUCUCAAACUUUAAAUUGGUAAGAAGCCCGACUUGCUUAAUUGAAGUAGGGCACAGAAUGAGAGUUCUUAGUGGGCCAUUUUUGGUAAGCAGAACUGGCGAUGCGGGAUGAACCGAACGCUGAGUUAAGGCGCCUAAAUCGACGCUCAUCAGACCCCACAAAAGGUGUUGGUUGAUCUAGACAGCAGGACGGUGGCCAUGGAAGUCGGAAUCCGCUAAGGAGUGUGUAACAACACACCUGCCGAAUCAACUAGCCCUGAAAAUGGAUGGCGCUCAAGCGUCGUGCCUAUACUCAGCCGUCAGAGUAAAUAGCGAAGCUCUGACGAGUAGGAGGGCGUGGGGGUCGUGGUGAAGCCUUUGGCGUGAGCCUGGGUGAAACGGCCUCUAGUGCAGAUCUUGGUGGUAGUAGCAAAUAUUCAAAUGAGAACUUUGAAGACCGAAGUGGAGAAAGGUUCCAUGUGAACAGCAGUUGGACAUGGGUUAGUCGAUCCUAAGAGAUAGGGAAACUCCGUUUCAAAGUGCCCAAUCUUGGGCCGUUUAUCGAAAGGGAAUCGGGUUAAUAUUCCCGAACCGGAACGUGGAUAUUCUGGUCCUUCUGGGCCAGAUUUGCGGUAACGCAACUGAACUCGGAGACGUCGGCAAGAGCCCUGGGAAGAGUUCUCUUUUCUUGUUAACGACUUGACACCAUGGAAUCUGAUUGCCAGGAGAUAUGGUUUAAUGGUCGGUAAAGCACCACACUUCUUGUGGUGUCCGGUGCGCUCUUGAAGGCCCUUGAAAAUCCGAGGGAAAGAUUGAUUUUCACGUCCGUUCGUACUCAUAACCGCAGCAGGUCUCCUAGGUGAGCAGCCUCUGGUCGAUAGAACAAUGUAGGUAAGG
rnacentral:rRNA from 1 species